UUACCUCGAGCUAAGGAGGUAGGAUCCUACGAUGGUAGCUCCGGUCUUGGGGAUGUCCACGUGGUAGACAUGAUUAGGCCGUAUCUCAGCUCGCUAAUAGCCCGUGGGAAAAUCAGGGCGUACAUUUGCCCCCAAGCCCCUGCUCGUGGUACACGAUGCCGCGUAGGGCCACAGUAGGGGCUUUUAGGCUUCCCCAUGAACUCUUCAUAUUCCACAUUUUACGCAGGCGCCAAAUACGUGGAACAUCGUGGUUGGUGACGGUACGUCUUCCGAGAACUGCAUUAAAUGGCCUAGCCUAUACUCAGCCGUCGUUUCGACUUUCGAGUGGAGAGACUUGGAUCCCACAUCAGGGCAAUCCAACGGCCCUCCUCACGUGGCCCUUCAUGUAUAUAAAAGGGGUGGCCACCUUAUGCAUGGGCCACCCGUUCAUUUGAAAAUUUUCAUAAUUUUUCUUCUUCUUCUCUCUUUUUCAUCUUCAAAAAGAAAAAACCUCUUCUUUUCGACCGCCAUUCCCAGCACUCAAGAAGUUCAGGUGUAAGGGCUCCCUUGAAGCUUUGGAAUCAACCACUCCAGCGAAGCCCCAACCCAGACGACCCAUUCAUCCUCUUCUCAACCAGAACACUUUGUAAGUCUCCUGACUGUGCAUGUUUUGAAAUUAUUUUUCACUGUAGCCUAGGUAAAUAUUUACUGUAGUCGCAUGCAAUGUUUUAUUGGUUUCUUGUGGGCAUGAAGGGUGAAAGCCCUUUAGGUUAGGGUAUCGUUUGCAGUAGAAAACCAUUUAGGAGCAUGGUUUAUAGGGUGCAUUUUCUGGGGAGAUUUUCUGGGUAGGAUUUUAGGUAUGCUGGUUUAAAGUAUCCAGUACUUUGGGUGCAAAACCGGGUAGCUUAGGGGACACGCUUCACAGGUAGUUUUGCACCUCUCGUCUACUGAAACUUUCCUUCCAAGGAAAAUUUCUAUCCUGACCCUCCUGACACACGAAUUCCGAGUAAUCGGGGAUCUGUUGGGAGCAUAGGCACGUGUUAGAAGAACCGCGUGGUCUCACUCUCCACGGGUUGGGCUUACCUCAGCUCGUGCCAAUGAAACACAUUCAUAUUCUUCUCCAUUUUUAGGUCGCAUUUUUCUAAAAUUUCUUCUUUUUGUUCGCUAGGCGACCAGAUGGGACCCAAGAAGAACGCUCCCAGGAAGUCCGUAGGCAGCUCCUCCUCCCAACAAAACAAGGGUAAGGAGGUGAUGGCUGAAUCCCCGAUUCCCAACUUCGGGCCAGCAGUGGAAUGGGAGCUCGAGGUGGCCCCCGACGCGUUCUUCGAGGCGGAGAAGAUCGUCUCAAAGAUCACUGACCAGGCGAGGGUAAAAAAAAUAUUCCUCUCCCAUAACAUCGAGCUGGGGAGAGGAACCAUGAUUGCCUGACCUCCCUUAGAAGGCGAGCGGAGCUGCGCGUCGCUUGAUGAGGUGUUCUCGGCCUGGAGCGACGAACAUUUCAAGGAGGGGGCCUUCCUCUCGCUAGACUAGUACUUCACCGAUUUCCUCAACUAUGUGAGGUUGGCCCCAUUCCAGCUCCCCCCAACUCUUACCAUUUGUUGGCGGGGUUAAGAUACCUGUUCUUGAAACAGGAGUGGGAGGUCCCCACUCCUGCAGACAUUCUGUAUUUUUUCUGCCUCAAGGCCAGCCCGGAGCAGCGGGGGCAAGGCGACGGGUUCUAUUGCUUGACUCGGUUCCCCAACACGGCUGCGGUCAUCGAGCUGCCCAGCCACCCCAACGACUUAAAAGACCAAUUCUUUAUGUCGACGGGGUUCCGAAACUGCGAGCUGCACUACUUCGACCGUCCUUCUAUCUUCGCGAGGACAGAGAAGUAUGUGAUCCUCGGGAGCCAGUACGAGACACUGUUGGGUUUGUCCCCCAGUGAAAAGGAUUAUCGCCAGCUCGUGACAGACGAGACGAUGCUGGCCUGCAAGCUGAUCUCCCCAGGCCAGACUCUGAACCUGAGGAGGCCCCGGGUGCCUCCCCCAGCUCGCGAUAUGAGGCCUAUCCUCGUGGAGGAGGUAGCGGGGGAUGAGGAUGAGGAGGACGAGGUGCCCCUCGUGAGAACGAGGAAGCGGGCGUUGGAGGUCGCCCAAAGAACGGACGAGGAGAGGAUCUGGUCCGGAGCAGCUGCAGGUCCCUCCGGCCAAGGUAACCCAUACAUGUUUAGGAACUUAGAUAGGGCCACUGCAGACCCCCGGCUAGCUAGCUUCAAUCCCAAACAGCUCGUCCGACGCCAUCGAAGUGACCCAGACUUUGACGAAACCCUGCUUCAUUGCGUCGACCAGCUCGUGUUGGAUUACGAAAGUAGCCACCCUAGGGGUACCAUAGUUGUAGACAACACCCUAGUCUUUAGUUCGGUCCUAUUCGAGGAGUAUGGGACUAACCUUCGGUCAUGGCCAUCACUCUGGGAGGGUGUCGUAGCUCCGGGUCUUAGGCAAUACGUAGAAGAGUCUAGUCCUGAGAUAGCCUCGGAUCCAUAACCCGCACCAGCUCGAGAAGUAAUUGUCUUAGAUUCCCCCGCAGAAGCUCCAGGGCCGAUGGUCGUGACCAUAGAUUCCUCCUCUAGCUCGGGGGGUAGGAUUCCUAUUAUUAUAUGUAUAUACUUGAGUUUCUCUUUUUUCCCCUUUGUUUUUGUUUUUGCAUGACUGCUUACUGACAUAUUGUUGUUGUCUUUGUUUUGCCAGAGGAGAUGUCUCAGCCUGGGGGAAAAAAUCUGCGAGCUAUGUUCACUGGAGGGAAAUCCUCAGCUGGGGCCUCUGGGCCCAAAAUGAAGAAGCUCUGGGUGGCGAAGAAGGCCGCUGGGACCCCCACCAAGUCCCCUGCAAAGGGGAAAGAGCAGACCCCAGCUGCCCAGGCCGAGGAAACUACACCUCCUGCUGGGGUGGAGAUUAUGCCCCCACCCCCUCCGCGAGCUCCGGCCUUUGUCCGGGACACAGGAGCGGAGCCCGGGGCUUCGGCAACUGCGCCUCCCGAGGUGCGCAUCCCGGUGGACCCCAGGACCUGGAGAAGAUUCCAGAUAUCUUUCGAGGGACGGUGUAUGAGACGGCGAGCUACGCCGUCAGCCACUUCUACCGCUUUAAUGAGAGGGAGUUGCGGGCCAUCGAAACUAGGAGCCCGGUGGGCGUAAUGGAAUUGUCAUUGGGCAUGGCCUUAACGAACGUCUUGGCCCUUCACCGGAGCUUAGCCAGGGCCAAGGCCCAGCUCGAGGAUAUGAGGGGUGAGCAUCAGACGACUUUGGCCACCCAUCAGACUUCCUUGCAGACGGCCCAACAGAAGGAAAAGGAAGCCAAGGAUGCCUUGGCGGCCGUGCAGGCCGAGCUGGCUGAAGCCCGUCCUAAGCUUCAAGAGGUCGAUGCCACCAAAGACGCCCUCGCCACUGCGCAGGCAGAGCUAGACACUGCGAAGGCUGGGGCCGAGGAGGCCAAGGCCGCCCUGGAAGCCGAGAAGGCAGCCUCCAACUCCGCCAUGGAGGACAUGCUCUACCACUGCUGGGUCUACAACUCGGACGAUGAUUUCUCCUUCUUGGGAGCGGACGUCUGCGAGCCCUUGCUAGAGGGGUUUAAAGCUCGCCUCUAGAAAGAGGCACCUUCUAAGACCGGGGAAGUCUCCGUCAUAGCCGAGCAGGAGGGCGAGACGGCGACCUCCACGGGGCCGAUUGGUGGAGCCUAGGGCCUUUCCAUUUUGCACCCACUCUUUUAUUAUCAUUCUUUUUUUUUUUUGUGUAACUUUGCAUGAGGUUUUUCUACCUCGAGACAAUCAAUUUUAUCAAUUUUUUCCUUUGAUUGGUUUAUUUCCUUUUGCCUUUACGCAUUUUAGUUACUAUUUUGAAAAACUUAGUUCGCGUUAAUUUUUAUCAAUAUCUCG